rnacentral:rRNA from 1 species
AAAUCCGCUUUGAUAAUGCUGGGAUGUGAUGGGGAGCGAAAUUUAGUAGCGAAGUAGCUGAUUUCACACUGUCAAGAAAAGUCUCUAUCGAGGUUAAAGGUACCCGUACCGCAAACCGACACAGGUGGGUGAGGAGAGUAUCCUAAGGCCAGCGAGAGAACUGUUGUUAAGGAACUCGGCAAAAUGACCCCGUAACUUAGGGAUAAGGGGUGCCACCAUCAGGUGGCCGCAGAGAAUAGGCCCAAGCGACUGUUUACCAAAAACAUAGGUUUCUGCUAAGUCGCAAGACGAUGUAUAGGAGCUGACGCCUGCCCGGUGCUGGAAGGUUAAGGGGAUCUGUUAGAGCAAUCGAAGCAGUGAACUUAAGCCCCAGUAAACGGCGGCCGUAACUAUAACGGUCCUAAGGUAGCGAAAUUCCUUGUCGGGUAAGUUCCGACCCGCACGAAAGGCGUAACGAUUUGGGCACUGUCUCAACAACAGACUCGGUGAAAUUGUAAUUCCGGUGAAGAUGCCGGAUACCUGCGACAGGACGGAAAGACCCCAUGGAGCUUUACUGUAGCUUGACAUUGGGUCUUGGUACUACAUGUACAGGAUAGGUGGGAGGCUUUGAAACCAGGACGCCAGUUUUGGCGGAGCCAUCCUUGGGAUACCACCCUUGUAGUACUGGGACUCUAACCAUAGGCCAUGAAUCUGGUCUUGGGACACUGUCAGGUGGGCAGUUUGACUGGGGCGGUCGCCUCCCAAAAGGUAACGGAGGCGCUCAAAGGUUCUCUCAGUACGGUCGGAAAUCGUACGUAGAGUGUAAAGGCAAAAGAGAGCUUGAUUGCAAGACAUACAGGUCGAGCAAGGAUGAAAAUCGGACUUAGUGAUCCGGUGGUUCUGCGUGGAAGGGCCAUCGCUCAACGGAUAAAAGCUACCCUGGGGAUAACAGGCUUAUCUCCCCCAAGAGUCCACAUCGACGGGGAGGUUUGGCACCUCGAUGUCGGCUCAUCACAUCCUGGGGCUGUAGUAGGUCCCAAGGGUUGGGCUGUUCGCCCAUUAAAGUGGUACGCGAGCUGGGUUCAGAACGUCGUG